GGUUAUGGCUCAGGGGUACAGCGCUCGCCUAGCAUGUGUAAGGCACUGGGUUCAAUUCUCAGCACCA
rnacentral:tRNA from 1 species